rnacentral:miRNA from 1 species
AUUGAUUCUGAGAGAACCGGUGUA